UACGAAGGGAGCUAGCGUUGUUCGGAAUCACUGGGCGUAAAGCGCACGUAGGCGGAUGUGUCAGUCAGGGGUGAAAUCCCGGAGCUCAACUUCGGAACUGCCUUUGAUACAGCACGUCUUGAGUCCGAUAGAGGUGGGUGGAAUUCCUAGUGUAGAGGUGAAAUUCGUAGAUAUCAAGAGGAACACCUGCGGCGAAGGCGGGUUGCUGGGCCGACACUGACGCUGAGGAGCGAAGGCCAGGGGAGCAAACGGG
rnacentral:rRNA from 1 species